GUGCACACCCACACACACACACACUGAUAAGAGUUCAUUUUGAAACACUGUUAAUGUCUUGAGAAUAUAUUAAUAAUGACCUUGUAUGAACUUAUAUGCAACUCCCGAGUCCUGAGGUAACUUGAGUGAAUUUUUCACCUAACACACUGUGGCUAUACUGAAAUAAUCAAGAUCUUGGGACCUUAACUAAUAACAAGAUCUGAGACUAUGGAAUAUUCACAGUUGUAAUAUUUAAAAAAUCUUUUGUUGUGACUUUGUUAAAGAGUAAGAUUUGAAGACCCCAAAACGGGAAGACUAAUUUUUAACCUCUCACUGUGAAGAGCGUAAACAAAUUCAUAAUUUGAGUUAAGAUGUCAUUAAAAUCCCCAGGACUCCGGGACUAGGGUAAAGCACUUUUGUGGUUCUGACAUGCUGUGAUAUUUGUAAAAACGCUUAUUUAAGCAUUUAUUUUAAAAGUGGUUUUGAAUCUUUGAAUCAAUACAAAAGGAAUUACCAUAGAUUCACCAAGGUGAAAGUAUAGUGACAUUUAUAGUUCUUUGCUCAGCAAAACUGUGCAGACACAUUUGUUUUAAUAUUUAUCAGGCCGCAGCCUUUUAUUCAUGUGGACUAACUUGACGAUUCUCUUUUGUGUGCGUCAGUCCCAACAUGGCAAACACUGUGAAUGCAGCCCUGAAGCCUCUGGAGACACUCUCGCGAAUCGUCAACCAGCCCAGCAGCCUGUUCGGGGGCAAAGGAAACUCCAGCAAGAACAAGACUGAGCAUGACACAGUUGGAACCACCAGAGAUAGCAACAGCAACACCCAAGACCCAGGUAGUCAGCACGGCAGUCGCGACAGAGCUAGCAGUAUGUGAGGCGGUCUAGGCCAUAAUUCUCCAAUGUAGUCAGCACGGCAGUCGCGACAGAGCUAGCAGUAUGUGAGGCGGUCUAGGCCAUAAUUCUAAGCUGUUUUCUUACACGCUCUAUUGAACCCUCUUUCACGCACGAUCAAACCUUUUCACACGCACUAUUGAGCUCACUCAAGCUAUCAAACGGUUACACACACACACUGUCAAACUAUCCCAGUUUACCCCUUAGGGCACCGUACAUACAGGGCAUAUCCUUGCAUUAUCAAGCGGUGUGACUCAACACAAGCAUUUAGUAGGAUGCUCAACAAAAGAUAUUAACUUGUGAAUCCUUCCUUAAAAACCCUUACGGCGAGCUAAACACUGACAAACAGCGCCAGAGAGAUAGAGAUAUUCACAUGGACACAGCCAAGAAAUAACAGUUCUGAUGGAAUGCAAGGUAAUGUCCCAUGUCAUAUUACAGUGCAGUGGCUGCUCUCCAAAAAACAAAAAAAGCAAUUUUGGGUGGAAAUGAAACCUCGAUCAGGUACAAGAAAUGACUCUGGGAACACACUUGGCUAUUUGGUGAGCUGUGCUGCGCAAGUGGUUACUAGGCAACAGAAAUCUUUGGACACCACUAUCUGCAACAGUACAAGUGAAAUAUUACUUGCCGCCUUCUCAUUUUUUACUGUUGUGGUUGAAGUCAAGCCAGGGUUCAGGUCAUUGCAUGUUGCGGCCGUGUAGAAAGUUGAAAAUACUCUAUGUUGCCGUCUCUCAAUGUCAAUGUUCACAUCAGCACAACAGUUGUCACUCGCCCCAGGAAACGAUUGGAUUUGUAAAGGAUCAGCCAAAGCGGAAGGGAUUCCUGUCAUGGCAUGGAAGGGUGUAGAAAAAUAGUAAAGCCAACUCUGUGAAGGGUGUGCCCUUUAUAAGGAGUAUGAGACAUCCCAUAGUAUACUCCAGCAAACAAAUCAAGGGCGUGGCGCUGUGUAGUUUAAUAACACCACUGCUGUGUAGUUUAAUAACACCACUGCUGUGUAGUUUAGUAACACCACUGCUGUGUAGUUUAGUAACACCACUGCUGUGUAGUUUAGUAACACC
ensembl:lncRNA